rnacentral:rRNA from 1 species
CCUACGGGAGACAGCAGUGAGGAAUAUUGGUCAAUGGCCGGAAGGCUGAACCAGCCAUGCCGCGUGAAGGGCAGGGCCCUAUGGGCGUUAAACUUCUGGUGUGCGGGAGCAAGAAUGGUCACGUGUGGCCAGACGAGAGUACCGUACGAAGAAGCAGCGGCUAACUCCGUGCCAGCAGCCGCGGUAAGACGGGGGAUGCAAGCGUUAUCCGGAUUUAGUGGGUUUAAAGGGUGCGGAGGCUGUGAGGUAAGUCAGCGGUGAAAUGCCCCCGCUCAACUGGGUGAAGUGCCAUUGAUACUGCCUUGCUGGACUGCGGAUGCCGUGGGUGCAAUGUGUGUUGUAGCGG